GACGAACGCUGGCGGCGUGCCUAAUACAUGCAAGUCGAGCGAAUGGAAGGGAGCUUGCUCCCUGAAGUUAGCGGCGGACGGGUGAGUAACACGUGGGCAACCUGCCUGUAAGACUGGGAUAACUUCGGGAAACCGGAGCUAAUACCGGAUACGUUCUUUUCUCGCAUGAGGAAAGAUGGAAAGAUGGUUUCGGCUAUCACUUACAGAUGGGCCCGCGGCGCAUUAGCUAGUUGGUGGGGUAAUGGCCCACCAAGGCGACGAUGCGUAGCCGACCUGAGAGGGUGAUCGGCCACACUGGGAAUGAGACACGGCCCAGACUCCUACGGGAGGCAGCAGUAGGGAAUCUUCCGCAAUGGACGAAAGUCUGACGGAGCAACGCCGCGUGAGCGAAGAAGGCCUUCGGGUCGUAAAGCUCUGUUGUCAGGGAAGAACAAGUGCCAGAGUAACUGCUGGCACCUUGACGGUACCUGACCAGAAAGCCACGGCUAACUACGUGCCAGCCGCCGCAGUAA
rnacentral:rRNA from 1 species